CCUACGGGAGGCAGCAGUGGGGAAUCUUCCGCAAUGGACGAAAGUCUGACGGAGCAACGCCGCGUGAGUGAUGACGGCCUUCGGGUUGUAAAGCUCUGUUAAUCGGGACGAAAGGCCUUCUUGCGAAUAGUGAGAAGGAUUGACGGUACCGGAAUAGAAAGCCACGGCUAACUACGUGCCAGCAGCCGCGGUAAUACGUAGGUGGCAAGCGUUGUCCGGAAUUAUUGGGCGUAAAGUGCGCGCAGGCGGAUAGGUCAGUCUGUCUUAAAAGUUCGGGGCUUAACCCCGUGAUGGGAUGGAAACUGCCAAUCUAGAGUAUCGGAGAGGAAAGUGGAAUUCCUAGUGUAGCGGUGAAAUGCGUAGAUAUUAGGAAGAACACCAGUGGCGAAGGCGACUUUCUGGACGAAAACUGACGCUGAGGCGCGAAAGCCAGGGGAGCGAACGGGAUUAGAUACCCCAGUAGUC
rnacentral:rRNA from 1 species